CUGUGAACAUAUCCCCACCCGUUUAAAAAAAAAACAUAUCCCCACCCAAUUCGCCGGCGAACGACCCUCCGCUCGGACGAGUUGGAACUCCGGCGGGAUGGAAGCCGCGUCCCUGCCGCUCGCCGCCUCCCGCUUCCUCUCCCCGCCGGCGACUGCUCCAUUCUGGUCCCGGCCGAGGAGCCUUCCCUUCGUCCGUGCCGCCCCCAAGGCGCUGGAAGCACGUGACGCCCCCAAAACCCUGCCGACAUCCCGCCGGCGCAGCGCUGUGGCAGAGGUCAAGGCUGCCACCGACCCCGUCGCCGCCCUCGCAAGGUUAGAGAAUGUGCUGAAGACACAGGAUUGCAACAUAAUCUUGCGUCACUAUGGAGAAAUCAGACGAUGGGAUAUGCUUUCCAAGGUUUUCGGGUGGAUGCAGAAGCAUGACAUGCUCAACAUCGCGUCUUAUAGUAGCUAUUUCAAGUACCUGGGUUUGAGCCGUAACGCUGCCAAAGUGCUACAAGUUUACAGUGCCAUCCAGGAUAAGUCAACCAGAGUCCACGUCUCGGUUUGUAAUUCAGUUCUUGGGUGCUUGGUGAAGAAUGGCAGGUCUGACAGCACCUUCAAGCUUUAUGAUGAGAUGAUACGAGAAGGUCUAUCACCUGAUCUGUUCACCUACAGUACUCUGCUUUCAGGGUGCAUUAAGCUGAAGCAGGGCUACACUAAGGCAAUGGAGCUGAUCAAUGAGUUGAAUUCCCGUGGUCUUCAGAUGGAUAGCGUAAUAUAUGGCACCCUCUUGGCAAUAUGCGCAUCUCAUAACUACUGCGAGGAGGCUGAGGUAUACUUCCAGAAACUGAAGGAUGAGGGCCAUACUCCUAAUCUGUUCCAUUACAGUUCCCUGUUGAACGCAUAUUCAGAAAAUUCUGAUUAUGAAAAAGCAGAGCUGUUGAUGAAAGAUCUGAGGUCCUCUGGUUUAACACCAAAUAAGGUUAUGCUCACCACUUUGUUGAAGGUAUAUUCGAAAGGUGGUCUCUUUGACAAGGCUAAGGAGUUACUAAUUGAAUUGGAAGCCUCAGGAUUUGCACAGGAUGAGAUGCCAUACUGCAUAUUGAUUGAUGCCCUUGCCAAAGGAGGAAACAUAUGGGAAGCAAAGAUGCUGUUUAAUGAUAUGAAAGAGAAAGGUGUUAAAUCUGAUGGCUAUGCAUUCAGUAUCAUGAUUUCAGCAUUACAUCGAGCUGGUUAUCGCGAAGAAGCAAAAAAACUUGCAAAAGAAUUUGAGGAUCAGAAUGCAACAUAUGAUCUUAUUAUGCUUAAUACAUCACUUCGUGCUUAUUGCAACACGAAUGAUACGGAAAGUGUAAUGAGAAUGCUGAAGAAAAUGGAUGAAUUAAACAUAUCACCUGAUCAUAUUACAUUUAAUACCUUAAUAAGGUACUUCUGCAAGGCAAAGGUCUAUCACCUUGCAUAUAAGACGAUUGAAGAUAUGCAUACGAAGGGCCAUCAGUUGAAUGAGGAGCUUUGUUCUGAGGUAAUGGUACAGCUAGGUAAAGCAGGUUUUCCUUCUGAAGCAUUUUCUGUGUAUAAUAUGAUGAGAUACAGUAAGAGAACAGUUUGCAAAUCUCUUCAUGAGAAGGUUUUAGGCAUCUUAGUUCCAGCGGGACUUCUAAAGGAUGCAUAUAUAGUUAUUAAGGACAAUUCUGAUCUGAUAUCUCCACGCUCUUUGGAGAAUUUUGCUGGACAGUUCAUGAUCUCUGGCAACAUAAAUUUGAUUAAUGAUGUUAUGAAGGCACUAAACCAUUCAGGAUGGCGUAUAAGCCAGGAUAUCUUUGGGAGAGCAAUUCAGCGAUACAUCCAGAAGCCUGAUAAGAUACAGUUACUGUUUUGCCUUUUGGAGUGGAUGACUGGUCAAGGCUAUUCUGUGGACUCAUCAUCAAGGAACUUGCUUUUGAAAAAUGCACAACUCUUUGGCCAGAAACAACUUAUAGCAGAAAUCCUUGCUAAGCAGCAAGCAGCUUCAAGGAUCACAGGCCAAAGAACCCAAAUGUUCAUAGAUUAAAGCAAGAUCUUAAUCAUAUCUAAAAUGGAUAUCCAUCCUAUAAUGAUCUGGAGGUAGUUAUAGACUUAUAGUUGUUUGAUGAUCGGCAAAAUAAUGCUAACAAGGAUCUGUCAAGUUAGAAGUUAUUACACUCAUGUUUCCAGGCUACAACCAAAACUUGUCAGAGAUUCAGAUUAUGUGAGGCUGUUCAGUUCAGCAAGAUUGGCCCACUUGAGCUGCAACUGGGAGUGAAGCUGCCCGCCAGGGCUUCCCGUGAUGUUAAUAUUUGUCCAAAACACAUGUAAGCAAGUUCAAGCUACAUUUUGUCAGCUUCAUCAGAUAAAGUUGCUCCAAUUUGGUGGCUGUGCAAUUGGUGCUAUGGUUCAUGCAGGAAACAGGAAACAAAAUACAUAGCUCUCUGGCUACAAAUUUGAACUUCUGUUUUCUGUACAUGAAUUUCUUGCGGAAGUAUUGGAAUAUGGAAAGUCCAGUUUUCUGAGGCACUAGAUGUAAUACGGGUUAGUCGGUUCCAAAGAAGAUCAGUGGGUUCUCAACUUGUGUUGCAUUUGGCUCAAGGAAUUCCCAGCCUCCCAGGGAUACUAUUACUGAAAAAGCCCACAAAAUAGAUUUAGUAAAUAAUGUGACAGAAGGCAUGCCAAAAGAGAAAUGCUGAAUAAAAUUCACAUUGACCAUCUAUGAUAAGAAACAUUAAAACAUGUGAAAUUGUUCUCGUGGUUUUGUAACAUGUGGUAACAUGCAUCAGUAAAAUCACUUGUUUUUCUUCGGGGA